AACGAACGCUGGCGGCAUGCCUAACACAUGCAAGUCGAACGAUUGCCUUCGGGUGAUAGUGGCGCACGGGUGCGUAACGCGUGGGAAUCUGCCCUUAGGUUCGGAAUAACAGCUGGAAACGGCUGCUAAUACCGGAUGAUAUCGCGAGAUCAAAGAUUUAUCGCCUGAGGAUGAGCCCGCGUUGGAUUAGGUAGUUGGUGGGGUAAAGGCCUACCAAGCCGACGAUCCAUAGCUGGUCUGAGAGGAUGAUCAGCCGCACUGGGACUGAGACACGGCCCAGACUCCUACGGGAGGCAGCAGUGGGGAAUAUUGGACAAUGGGCGCAAGCCUGAUCCAGCAAUGCCGUGUGAGUGAUGAAGGCCCUAGGGUUGUAAAGCUCUUUUACCCGGGAAGAUAAUGACUGUACCGGGAGAAUAAGCCCCGGCUAACUCCGUG
rnacentral:rRNA from 1 species